UUAUUUGAGGGUUUGAUCCUGGCCCAGGAUGAACGCUGGCGGCGUGCCUUAGGCAUGCAAGUGGAACGAUCCUUAGAGUAAUCGAAGGAAAGUCGCGAACGGCUGAGUAUAUAGUAGGAAUCUACCCUUUGGCGGGGAAUACCCCCGAGAAAUCGGGGCUAAUACCGCAUGACCUCGUGAGAGAAAAGGGCGUAACUGCCCGCCGAAGGAGGAGCCUACUUCCCAUCAGCUUGUUGGUAGGGUAACGGCCUACCAAGGCUACGACGGGUAGGGGGCGUGAGAGCGUGACCCCCCAGAAUGGCACUGAGAUACGGGCCAUACACCUACGGGUGGCAGCAACCGGGAAUCGUGCGCAA
rfam:Candidatus Woesebacteria bacterium RIFCSPHIGHO2_12_FTLL_41_24 rifcsphigho2_12_scaffold_3882, whole genome shotgun sequence.